UGGAUGGAACUUAACUCUCUAGACUGGGC
rnacentral:piRNA from 1 species